rnacentral:miRNA from 10 species
UGGUGCUUGUCCCAGUGGUCCG